rnacentral:tRNA from 1 species
AACUUCUUAUAUGUGUUUUGAAAACACUAAAGAGACUAAGUCUAGAAGUUU